rnacentral:rRNA from 1 species
AGUGACUAAGCGUACACGGUGGAUGCCUUGGCAGUCAGAGGCGAUGAAAGACGUAGUAACUUGCGAUAAGCCCAGAUUAGGUAGUAACAACCAUUUGAGUCUGGGAUUUCUGAAUGGGGAAACCCACUUACAUAAGUAAGUAUCGCUGCGUGAAUACAUAGCGCAGCGAGGCGAACCGGGGGAACUGAAACAUCUAAGUACCCCGAGGAAAAGAAAUCAACCGAGAUUCCGAAAGUAGCGGCGAGCGAAAUUGGACUAGCCCUUAAGCUUUACACGCGUUAGA